UGUGAAGAAGGUCUUCUGAUUGUAAAGCACUUUAAGUUGGGAGGAAGGGUUGUAGAUUAAUACUCUGCAAUUUUGACGUUACCGACAGAAUAAGCACCGGCUAACUCUGUGCCAGCAGCCGCGGUAAUACAGAGGGUGCAAGCGUUAAUCGGAAUUACUGGGCGUAAAGCGCGCGUAGGUGGUUCGUUAAGUUGGAUGUGAAAGCCCCGGGCUCAACCUGGGAACUGCAUUCAAAACUGUCGAGCUAGAGAAUGGUAAAGGGUGGUGGAAUUUCCUGUGUAGCGGUGAAAUGCGUAAAUAUAGGAAGGAACACCAGUGGCGAAGGCGACCACCUGGACUGAUACUGACACUGAGGUGCGAAAGCCUGGGGAGCAAACAGGAUUAGAUACCCUGGUAGUCCACGCCGUACACGAUGUCAACUAGCCCUUGGGAGCCUUGAGCUCUUACUGGCGCAGCUCACCAUUACAUUGACCGCCUGGGGAGUACGGCCGCAAGGUUAAAACUCACAUGAAAUGACGGGGGCCCGCACAAGCGGUGGAGCAUGUGGUUUAAUUCCAUGAAACGCGGAGAAACCUUACCACGCACUUGACAUCCCAUGAACUUUCCAGA
rnacentral:rRNA from 1 species